AAUGAACGCUGGCGGCAGGCCUGACACAUGCAAGUCGAGCGAGCGGCGGACGGGUGAGUAAUGUAUGGGGAACUGCCCGCUCCAGGGGGGUAACUCCUGGCAACUGUUACUAUUACCGCGUACUAUCGAAUGAACCCAUAUGGGAUUAGCUAGUAGGUGGGGUAACGGCUCACCUAGGCGACGAUCUCUAGCUGGUCUGAGAGGAUGAGCGUCCACACUGGGAUUGAGACACGGCCCAGACUCCUACGGGGGGCAGCAGUGGGGAAGAUUGCACAAUGGGCGCAAGCCUGAUGCAGCGAUGCCGCGUCUAUUACGAGGGCCUUAGGGUUGAAGAGUACUUUCAGCGGGGAGGCGUUGCCCGCAGAAGAAGCAUCGGCUAACGCCGGGCCAGCAGCCGCGGUAAUAC
rnacentral:rRNA from 1 species